UCUUCCACAAUGGACGCAAGUCUGAUGGAGCAACGCCGCGUGAGUGAAGAAGGGUUUCGGCUCGUAAAGCUCUGUUGUUAAAGAAGAACGUGGGUAAGAGUAACUGUUUACCCAGUGACGGUAUUUAACCAGAAAGCCACGGCUAACUACGUGCCAGCAGCCGCGGUAAUACGUAGGUGGCAAGCGUUAUCCGGAUUUAUUGGGCGUAAAGCGAGCGCAGGCGGUCUUUUAAGUCUAAUGUGAAAGCCUUCGGCUCAACCGAAGAAGUGCAUUGGAAACUGGGAGACUUGAGUGCAGAAGAGGACAGUGGAACUCCAUGUGUAGCGGUGAAAUGCGUAGAUAUAUGGAAGAACACCAGUGGCGAAGGCGGCUGUCUGGUCUGCAACUGACGCUGAGGCUCGAAAGCAUGGGUAGCGAACAGGAUUAGAUACCCUGGUAGUCCAUGCCGUAAACGAUGAUUACUAAGUGUUGGAGGGUUUCCGCCCUUCAGUGCUGCAGCUAACGCAUUAAGUAAUCCGCCUGGGGAGUACGACCGCAAGGUUGAAACUCAAAAGAAUUGACGGGGGCCCGCACAAGCGGUGGAGCAUGUGGUUUAAUUCGAAGCUACGCGAAGAACCUUACCAGGUCUUGACAUCUUCUGACAGUCUAUG
rnacentral:rRNA from 1 species